AUUGAACGCUGGCGGCAUGCCUUACACAUGCAAGUCGAACGGCAGCACGGGAGCAAUCCUGGUGGCGAGUGGCGAACGGGUGAGUAAUACAUCGGAACGUGCCCAGUAGUGGGGGAUAACCCGGCGAAAGCCGGACUAAUACCGCAUACGACCUACGGGUGAAAGCGGGGGAUCGCAAGACCUCGCGCUAUCGGAGCGGCCGAUGUCAGAUUAGCUAGUUGGUGGGGUAAAGGCCUACCAAGGCGACGAUCUGUAGCUGGUCUGAGAGGACGACCAGCCACACUGGGACUGAGACACGGCCCAGACUCCUACGGGAGGCAGCAGUGGGGAAUUUUGGACAAUGGGCGCAAGCCUGAUCCAGCUAUGCCGCGUGCGGGAAGAAGGCCUUCGGGUUGUAAACCGCUUUUGUCAGGGAAGAAACGCUCCGGGCUAAUACCACGGAGUAAUGACGGUACCUGAAGAAUAAGCACCGGCUAACUACGUG
rnacentral:rRNA from 1 species